rnacentral:tRNA from 1 species
AGAACAAAAAGUUAUAAGAAUUAGCUUCUAACUAAUUAUUAAGCGGUUCAAUUCCGUUAUUGUUUUG